CACAACUAGACUAUAUAUUCAGUCAGCAAACCUCCCCUUCUUAACACUGCGUCGAUGCGAUUUCGUCGUCUAUCUUAUGCGGUCCGGUCGUUGUGAUUUUAUUUAAAUUUUCCGAAUCGCUUAUUGGGCUUCUUUUAUUUGAGAAGUGCGUAAUGAUAGCGUUAACUGUAGUAUAACAGGUUUAAUAGCAGCAGUGUAGUGUGAAAAUAGUUGAAGUUGACCAGAUAAUGUAGGUAUGCUACUGUAGCUAACGUCAUUCGACGCCUAGAUGUGUUAUAUAUAGCUUUCUAGCGACAGAUUGUACAUCAUUUUGUAUUCAACUAAAAACAAACAAGGUGACGUUAAGUCAUAGCAACUCGCUAGCUAAGGACAUUUUUGAAUUCUGACGUGUCAGUUGACAAAAGUCAAGAUGAUAGUCACAAGAACGAGAUUAACGUUAGGUGGCAGGGUCUUAUUUUUAGCAGCGGCGCUUACGUCAUUUACCUCAGAAGUAUGCUUAUUUCAACUGAAUUGGCAUCUCGGUAUUAAUUAUAAGCCAAGUAACGUAGCGAAACAAUUUAUUUUAAAGAGUUUGCCAAACAAAAGAUGCGUCUUGUGGCGCACUUGUAGGCCCGACUCAAAAUGGCGAUUAGGGAGAAAUGGAUGUCCUGGGGAUUCAGCGCUGAGAACAGCUGGUGCAGUUAUCUGAAUUCCAAGCUACUGUUAUUUCGAAGAUCAGAAAAUCAGGUUGUAUAAGACGCGUUAUCAAAAGAACCAAGUUACAAUUCAAUGAACGUAUGAAAGAUGGAACGACGUUCCAUUUAUCCGAAGCAGUAUAGUUACUUCAAUGCGUUUAUUUUUUCCGUUUUCCUAAAAUGAACAAUGCGUUACAAGAAAAUAACCAUAUGAAGCCUUGUGAAUACGAAGCUAAUAUGCAAGUUACUAAGAUAAUCUUGUGAAGAAUUGUGACGUCAUAAGAAUAGCCAGCUAAAUGUUUGAAUAGUAGAUGUUGGGCAGCGGUCUCAGGCAGUUUAGCUAACUUCAAGUGGUGUCGCAAGUUGCUCACAUAUCAUGAAGUACAUUUUAUACCGAAUAAGAUUCAGCAAUAGAAGUUGGGUGAAUAUCAGAUGCAUUUAAGCGGUUUUAUUUUAAGCCUAAAAUGACGAACAAGUGGAGCUGCUGAUAGUUGCUUACAUAUGGACAAUCGUUAAAAAAAAGUUAAUGAAGGAAGCAAGUUUCAAGACUAAUACCUUGUGGAAAGCUAUGAUGCCUUUUGAGAAUAGCCAACAACAAAUUGAAGAAUGAAAGUUGGGUGUGGCCCAUUUAUCAGACGUGUUUUACUAACUUCAAGACGUUUUUGUUGUUUUUACUUGACCUGAAGAACAAGUUCUGAUUGUUGUCUACUUGUCAGGGGGAAAAAUCUGUAUAGGUAACCUGAAAGAAAAAAGCUACUAAACUUAACGAUAUGAAACGUGAAUCCUUAUUCAUUUGAAUAGCAAGCAAAGUAUUGGAAGAGAAUUUGGCCUGACGGUGCCUGUAUCAGUCAUUUGAGCUACUUCAAGAAUUAAAUCUUUUAAACAAAAUGAUGAAAAGAUGUGCUGCUGAUUAAGUAUCCAAGUGAAGUGGUCGCAUUAAGAGAACGUGCUGUAAUUCAAGGAAUCACAGGCUCAAAUGUGACCUUGCGUUGUCACGCCUCAGAUUUUAUUAACUUUUUCAAAACAAUUGGCUCUAGCGAAGAAAAGAAGGCUUUUGUUUUUUUCAUGAGGAGAAUGGACUGAGUUUGCGUUGUUGGGGGAAGGACUUAGCUAGUUAGCAGUUUGUGAGGAAGGACUCUUUCAGGAUCAGAGGGAGGAACCAGGCCAAGGGCAAACUGGGAGGACCAGCGGGGAGCCAGGCAGGACCCAGGGGGAUCGAGGGAGGAGCAGAUUGGAGCCAGACGUGGGAAGCAGCCGGGUGUUCAUCAGAGGGAACGAGCCAGAUGGCAGGGUAGCGAGCCUUGCAGUGAGCCGAGAGCGGAGCAGUCCCGGGUCGAGUGUUGCCCUUAGCCAGCCAAUGGGUCCCAGCAGCAAUGAGGCAGACGUGUUAAAGAGCAUACGUGUGAAAGGGUCAACUAGCUUCGCAAGUCACAGGAAAAGCGUUUGGUUUGUAUGAUGGGCAGUGGUAACGUUUAACUAGGCCAAGAGUCUUAUUUAAAAGUCACUUUUUAAAUCUGUCAAGGACACAGUUCUCGCGAAGUUUUGUUUCUUCCUCUUGCAGGUAAUGGUGUGGUAAAGCGUUUAUUUUCCUGGUCACAACCCUUUCCUGUGUGCCUGCGUGUCUGCUGUGAUGAGUCCCCCUUGGCCUUCUUGGUAGAGUGGGCUGGUGAGAGGAGGACCGUCUUAAAAGGAUUUCAGCCUCCUGCAGCACAGAUGUAGUGCCCCCGGGGCGGAGUUUCUCCUGUCAUUGAGUUCAAUAGGUCUGCGCCCCAAGAUGUGGUCUACAUGGGAGUGUGUUGAGUGGGAGGUCUUCUGUACGUCCGUACCACAACGCCCCUUUGGUGCUGAGCAGCUACAUCUGCUGGUUAAAGUGAGCAGUGAGUUUAAAUGCAUGAUAUGAUCACGUGCGGAGUAACUAUUCCCCUAGCUAAAUAUUGAAAUCAAAUUUACAUUUGCCUUCGUAUUGGUAACUAGGGGAUUAUCCCUGAAUUUGUGUUUAGUCUGGUGUUAUUGGUCGAACUGUAGUGCCUUUGUGGAUGGGGGGGGACGUUUUCCGAGUUCUUCUUUUCACAGGCUCGGCCCUUAAAGCAAAGCUGACCAUCCAAGGGAGUCCCUCUUUAGUACUACCUACCACGUUAAUCAAAAAGAGUUGGACGUCAUGUAAACGAUAGUUCUAAGGAUGGAUCAAGUGACACCUCUGGCGUUAAAGUGAUGUAGGAAGGUAUUUUGUGCUGGUUUUCUGUAGUGAGUUGAUCACAUUUGAAUAUGUACUACCAUACUUAUGUUAAGUGUUUUUCUUCCAAUGCAUUUUAACUGGGCAGACAUCAUUUGGGUCUUGGGAGGGUUGUGGGGGGUGUUAAUCCAAAUUUCUUCCAAGAAUUCUUUCACACAGCUUCGUGUAAAGCAGCAUUUAAAGAUCCAAAUGGCUAGCAUUGAGGUUUGGGGAGCAAGGAAUCAACCGGGUGGUCCACAUCUUUCGGUGUCCGUUUUGCCUUGUGGUGUAGAGAUUCCUCGGUGUCUACAAGGGUCUAGCAAGUGGCGGGCCACGUUUUGGGAAGUCGACUCGUAUUCUCCCAGGGAGUGUGGUAAUGGUCACCUUUAGAUUGACACAUUCUAUGUCAUGGAGUAUGAAGUUGCAUUUGGGGGUUUCUGGGGUCAGGGGACUGCUUAAUUGUGACUUUUCCAGAUUAUUAUGUGACCCAACCGUUCAAUGAAAGAACAACUAGAGGUCCACGUCUACCCCCGUGUGUCUUAAGGAGAAACGGUGACGCAGAGGCCAGUGCUAUUUUAAAGUUUUUUCUGUGGAAAGUUAAUGAUUUGGUAUUUCUCCAAAUUCGGAUAUUUUCAUUGUAUAUUAGCAACUGUAAAUACAAUUUGAUACUGUAAUUGUCAUGGUUGGUUACUGUUUGGGUAUGUGUGGGGGGGAAUGGUGGAAGGCUUGUUUUCCCUUCUGCAUUUUUCAGUGUGCUGUGUCCUGCGUUUUCAAUACUCAAGACCAACAGGAACACCCCUAACUCAUUGUAUGUAAAGGUUUUCUAUCACUUCAAAAUGCCUCGCAAGGUCUCAAGUAAGGUCACUUACAAAUGUGUUAACAUUUCCCUUUUUAAUAUUUCAUUAGUUUAACAUUUGGCAACGCAUAAAUUGCACUCUCUUUGCAAAUUAGUUAAUGUUUUGUAUUGAUGCAACAGAGCUAUCUGUAAAGGAUUCAUAAUUGGUAAUAAAUGCAUAGCUUAUUGUGAUUGAAGACAUUUUUGUUAUGCAUUUGUUCUUUGGGGGAAUCUUGUCUGGGGGGCUUUUCUUGUGCUUUUUCAGGUAUGUCUUAGCUUGGUGCUUUUAGAGCAUGGAAGUGACCUGGGCUUGAUGGCAGCUCUUACAUGGUGGAAAGUGAAGGUUUCAGAUAAGUUCAAUCCAGCUCAUAUCCGUGUCUGAAUAUGGGGGAAAAUCAAGAUAUGGAACAUGGCUGUCUGAAUGGUCCUUAUUGUGGCCUCAGUUGAUUAUUCUUGAAUAGAGAAGCAUCUACCUAGCAAUGCAACGUCUCAGCACUACUUGUGAUAUGUAGAAGUUGCACUGCUGUGCUUUCCCUAUGGGUGCAAAUCUCUUCUGUUCCAACAGGAAGAUUUGGUGGAAACCCUUUGCUUUAUAGUUGACAUAAAAUUUACUUUGGCUAUGUGGGUAACAUGUGGGUUCUGGUGAGGGUGGGUAUAGGGGUGUUGUCUGCUUUUGAUCUUGCAGAAUUGCAAAAGCCCUACCGGAGAAUGCCAUCUACCAGUGACGUGACCACAGGAAUCGCACCGUCCUUUGACCUCGUCUCAACACAGGCAGGACAGUUUGAGCACGUUUGUUACAUUCAAGGCCAUUUCUAGCUUUACCUAUUAGAUCUCCUCAGCUACCAGCUCUUGUGCAACUGUUCAAGGACAGUCAGUUGUAUCAUAGUAGCUUUUGAACUGUAAAGCAUUUGGUUUAAUUAUUUUGCAGCAGUCGCGCAACUGUGUGACAGCUUUCCCAAAUGAAGGUAGCUGAGGAACACUGCGCAACUGUGCAGCUGUAAUUUGAACUGAGUGCAGCGCAAAUGUGUUGCUUUUGGAUUGGUAUUUGUUGGGCUUGGGAGGGGAAUUGUGCACUUUUUCUCUACAGAAAUCAGUGAGCCUGGCGCAAGCACGUAUGAUGUCUUCUAACCUGGAACAUGUAGGAAGAUGUUUACCUCUUUCACUAUUCAUUUAAUAAGACCCCUGUCAUGUUUUAGUUUGACUCAAUGGACAUCUUGAACUGGAUUUCUGUUAACCAUAGUCAAGCAAUGCUUUUAGCUGCAUAUACCUCACCCCCUUUGGCCCAGAGCCCUACAGCUUUGCAUCUUUAACUAAGUUAAGAAACGUCAUGUAGGUGUUGUGAGUACUGUGGUGGGAGAAUGUUUGUGUCGACACCUCUUCGUUUCAGAUCAUUCUCUCGUUUCACUGUCCGCUACGAUUGCGCCUCCUGCAUCUGAAUGUAUCAGCCGCCGGGAACUGUCAGCAAAUGAGUGUGCCCCCUGAAUGAAGUACCUACCAUCUCUCCCUCUAUUGGCUUGAGCUUAAAGUCAGCCCCGCCCGAUGUUCUUCACCGUCUCCUCUCCCUCUGUGCUGUUUGUUCCUUUCCUUUACCCCUUUUGGUUUCUCAGGUGACUAUUUCUCAAUCUGAAGUAAAAUGGUCUUGAAUUGGCAUCUGUGAUCCGCCCCGUAACUGCGUAAUGGAACACUGAGAACCCAGUCACUUUCAGAUGAAGAGCCACAAGCUUGUCUUGCUGCUAAUUGAGCAUCUCUUCAGUUUCUUGUUUACUAAGUUAAGUCAUUUUGGUUCCCAUUUGACUUUGAACACACUACGGCUGUGUAAUUCAACCCUUUGUCUGCAUGCACAACAGCUCUACAUAACAUUAAGAUUUUUUUUAAAUGCAUAACCUAAAUGUUCCAUGUAGCUAUUGCGUAAAAUGGGCACAUUCCAGUAGUUUGGGUGGACGCAGGGAGGGUGGGGGGCAACAUUUCUUUCUUUCUUCCUUUCAGAUAUCUCUUGAGUCAACUUCUGUUUCUACGGCGCACUGGGACAGCUCACAGCUGCAGAGUCACAGGAAGUUGGUCUGUCUUGGUUUGAUCCAGUUCUGGGAAGUUGAGUGUCAGUGUGGAGAAACUGUCUGGGUGCGGUUUGUACCGUUUCGGUCAGUCACAGUAAAUGUCCAAAGAUGUCAAUUUCAGAGAAUAUCAGGUUUUGCGGGGGGGGGGUGGUAAUUGUCUCUUACAGAGUCAAAUUUAAGCGGUUGAUCCUCGCUAGUUUGACUAACCUCUGAAUCUGGACCAGUGUCAGUAAUCUAGUUUCAUGUAUCAUGGCUGAAACUUAGUAAUGUUGUGGAAUAUUUCUUAUGGCAUUUAGUGCACCAAUGUAGUGACUUUGGGGGGGGCGACCUUUAAUUUUCCUCUAGUUUCAGGCACGCGACGAAGCUAAAGUCCUCUGGUUCGUGUAGAGCAGCAGGUAGUAAGGGUUUUUCUUUUCCUGGGAGAACAAACCAUUUGGUUUUUGUUCUUCCAGGUUUUGCUUUUUGUCCUUACACAACAAAAAAAGCAAAAGACUCCGGUGGUGGCACUCCUGAUUCCUCAGGAUGGGGUUCAAUUCCCUGCGAAGUCUUUGCUUUUUUCAACCUGCUGCUGAGCCAGGGAAUAGUUAAACAGGGGAACCUAGGUACUUUAAGUUUUACUGCGAUUAUAAAUUAAAGUAUUGAAUAAUCUGUCGUUUAUAGAUGGGUUAGCUGACAACGUCAAUGUGGCUAAAGUUGUGAUUCUGGAUGGCCAAGUGCUACUAACAAUGACAAUCUGCCAUGUCUGACUCAUAAGUGACUUGUUUCUUCUUGAUACCACAUCUUGUUUUGACUGAUGUAAUGUCAAUGCUAGUAUGACAAAUUUGCAUGCUAACCCACUAACAAUGUAUUUAAGACUAGUGCAAAUGUAAUUGUUUUCAAUUAACAUUGGAGACUAAAUAUAUUCGACAUGUCAACAAUCUAAGCCAACCUAGUCUGGUUUGCCCCGUAGUUGCGCAUGGGUUAGUUACAUUGCUGAAAAAUCAACCUGUCUUGAGGCUGUUAACCCAUUAAAUCCCGACUUGUUCCCAGACAUGAAAAUAUCCAUAUCUUGUGUCAUUAGUAAGCCUUUGAAAUAAUCAAUCAUACUUUGUUUUCAUGGAAAAGUAGGUAAAAAUUGUGUUAUGGUUGGUCACAAUUGUGACGUGGGAUAAUGUAAUGUAUACUGAAUUAACAUAUGCAGUCAUGAAAAUGCAUAUAUCCCAGCCCAGUUAUUAACGCAUGUAAAACUCACUGGCAGUCCCCAGCAUUGCUACUAGAAUGCCCCAUCACAUUCUAGUGGGACUAUUUUAACAUAUCGAAAACCUUUAUACAACACCGAUAUGAAUACUGAGAGCAAAAACAAAUCAACGUAUUUCAACAUUGUUACUUUAGUGCAACAUGUAUUGUAACAUUUGAACUUGUGCAACAUUCAUUUUAACAUUGUCAUUGACGUUUUAGUGCAACAUUCACUAACUUUAUAGCAGUUGUGAUUCAUUCACAUUGAACAAAGGUAACAUUUAGGCUAGGUAGCCUGUAGAACAUGCAUUCAAGUAGAGGCCUACACUGAACAAAAUAAUAUAAAUAUAUAUUUUUGGAUUACAGUAUGACAGAUCGUAGUUCAAAAUAGUAAUGCACAAACUAAUCGUGCACUUGGUUCUGAAGCCUACCUCUAUUUAUAUACACUAUUUUGAACUACGAUCAGUCAGAUACUGUAAUACAGUAUGUCUUGACUCAAUUGAUCCUCUGUUCCAAAAACAUUUCAGUCAUUUGUCUUUUUCCAUUUCUUGACUUUUCUUCCUAAAGUCCAUUGUACUGCUUCUCCUCACACUUGAUUGACUUAUUUGCUUUUUCAGCCCUUUUCAUUCUCUCUUCUCGUCUCUUUUUCUGUCCAUGGGGCGGCAGCGUAGCCUAGUGGUUAGAGCGUUGGACUUGUAACAAAGGUUGCAAGAUCGAAUCCCUGAGCUGAGAAGGUAUAAAUCUGUCUUUCUGCCCCUGAACAAGGCAGUUAACCCACUGUUCCUAGGCAGUCAUUGAAAAUAAGAAUUUGUACUUAACUGACUUGCCUAGUUAAAUAAAGGAGAUUACUGUGACUCAGUGGUCACGUUGAAUUUUACUAUGGUCAUGACUGCGGGUGUGGCGGUAGGACGGUCACCGCAACAGCCCUAUGGUCAACCAUCCUCCAGGAGAGCUAAUGGUUGUGCAGGCUUUUAUACCAGUCCCUCUAACAAACCAUAUUAGAGAAAUUAGCUGCUCAACUGGACCUUGAUAAACUGCCUCUCUUUGAGCAGGGCUUAAUCAGAAGGGCUUGCACACCCAGUAUCUCUCCAGACUGAGGGUUGACCAUGUGUUUUAAUACAGUUGUCUAACAGGUAUUGUACUUUGUGGGUGGUUAAGUGCCUUGCAUAAUGGCAGGAGAUGGUACAUGGGAUCAGAGAGCAGCCUCCCAUUGUCAAUAUGACAUUACUCUUACUUUUUUUGUACGUACAUAGCGACUUAGAAUGUGGGUAAAAGUCAUGAAAGUCCAUCUGUCAAAAUGUGUUUAGUAUGCACCCCUCAUGACAGAGUUAAUAUCAAUCAGCUUUAUUAAACAUUGUGUUCCAAUAUGCAGAGAUCGAUGUUUUGACAUUUUACAUAUCUUCAAUAAAUUGUCCAACUGUCUGUUUCCAUGUAUACAAUUGUCUCAAUUACACAACCAACUAUGCCUGAAUGUCAGGAGAAACUGGAAUUUGACUGGAUUUUUUUGGGGGGUUUAGUCUAUUGGUUGGGUGUGAGUAUCAUGACUUGCAGUUUGAGACAUGAGAGAACUGUUGGAAAUGGUGUCGUUACUGUAUGAACAUAAAAUCAAUUAACAGUAAAAAAAAAAAUGGCAUACUAUCAUUACAAUUAAAACUUGUGUUCAAUCUUGACCUUUCAAUUUCUCUGGCUUUAUUUGGGUUACACAUGUCUCAAUGCGCUUUUUUUAAAUGAAAGAAAUAAGCCAAUUUUAGCGGCCAGAUUUUUUUAAUGAAUCAUGAAAUGUUUAUUUUAUUAGUGAGUACAGUAAGCCUAUA
rnacentral:lncRNA from 1 species